rnacentral:rRNA from 1 species
UACGAAGGGGGCUAGCGUUGUUCGGAUUUACUGGGCGUAAAGGGCGCGUAGGCGGAUAUUAAAGUUAGGCGUGAAAACCCUGGGCUCAACCUGGGACGUGCGUUUAAUACUGAGUAUCUAGAGUGUGUGAGAGGAUGGCGGAAUUACCAGUGUAGAGGUGAAAUUCGUAGAUAUUGGUAAGAACACCGGUGGCGAAGGCGGCCAUCUGGCGCACAACUGACGCUGAGGCGCGAAAGUGUGGGGAUCAAACAGG